CCUACGGGUGGCAGCAGUGGGGAAUAUUGCACAAUGGGGGAAACCCUGAUGCAGCAACGCCGCGUGAGUGAGGAAGUAUUUCGGUAUGUAAAGCUCUAUCAGCAGGGAAUAGAAAAGAAGGUACCUGAAAAAGAAGCCCCGGCUAACUACGUGCCAGCAGCCGCGGUAAUACGUAGGGGGCAAGCGUUAUCCGGAUUUACUGGGUGUAAAGGGAGCGUAGGCGGUAUGUCAAGUCAAGGGUGAAAUCCCCGCGCUCAACGUGGGAACUGCCUUUGAAACUGGCAAACUGGAGUGUGUGAGAGGAUAGUGGAAUUCCAGGUGUAGGAGUGAAAUCCGUAGAUAUCUGGAGGAACAUCAGUGGCGAAGGCGACUAUCUGGCACAUAACUGACGCUGAGGAGCGAAAGCGUGGGUAGCAAACAGGAUUAGAUACCCGAGUAGUC
rnacentral:rRNA from 1 species